rnacentral:rRNA from 1 species
UUGUCUCAAAGAUUAAGCCAUGCAUGUCUCAGUGCAAGCCGAAUUAAGGUGAAACCGCGAAAGGCUCAUUAAAUCAGCUAUGGUUCCUUAGAUGGUACGUACAGUUACUUGGAUAACUGUGGCAAUUCUAGAGCUAAUACAUGCAAAUUGAGUUCCGACGGCCGUCGCAGGCGGAAGGAACGCUUUUAUUAGAUCAAAACCAAUCGGGCUUUCCCGCAGCCACGCGCGAGGGAUCGCCCGUCACGUCCUGGCGACACUGAAUAACUUUGAGCUGAUCGCACGGUCCCGCACCGGCGACGCAUCUUUCAAAUGUCUGACUUAUCAACUUUCGAUGGUAGGCUCUGCGCCUACCAUGGUCGUAACGGGUAACGGGGAAUCAGGGUUCGAUUCCGGAGAGGGAGCCUGAGAAACGGCUACCACAUCCAAGGAAGGCAGCAGGCGCGCAAAUUACCCACUCCCGGAACGGGGAGGUAGUGACGAAAAAUAACGAUGCAGAACUCUUUCCGAGGCUCUGCAAUCGGAAUGAGCACACUCUAAAUCAUUUAACGAGUAUCCAUUGGAGGGCAAGUCUGGUGCCAGCAGCCGCGGUAUUCCACUCCAU